rnacentral:lncRNA from 1 species
CAAGAAUUCAUAAAAUAUCAGCUGAAGAUUGUAAAAUUAAAUGAGUGUUUAUUCAGUAUACUAAAAAAAAAAGGCUUGUGUAGCACUAUCCCCAUCCUUCCUUGACAAAUGUAUGUGAGCUGCUGUCUUGAUCAGACACAGAGCAAAUUCUUGGAAUUGGGCAGCGAUGUUGAGACUUACGUGCCCUUCAAAUCCCUCUGCAAGAACACAGCCAGGACUCAGAGCACAGUCCCAGGUAUUGCUGGGGGCAGCUGAGCUGUUUCUGGACAGCAGGACAUAGCUAAGUACAGCUAAUUCUUUGUAUCCACUUUAGUCAGUGCAGCAAAAGGGGCUGGUUGUGGAAUGAAGAAGCUGCUGCUGAGAACAUCAUUCACGAUGCAUGUAUUUUUGGGGCAUUUGCACAAAGUAGGAGUAGUUUGGGGUCAUGGCUCAGUACUCAUCACUGUUUGGAGCAUAUCUUCCUUCUUAAGUUUUCAUCUAAAAGGUUCCAGUUUGUCAUUACUCUGAAAUGUGAAAAGCACAGUAAAUAGGAACAACCAGAACAACCAAGAGAUCUAUCUCAAAACUCGUUUCUCAUCUACAGAAAAAUGCUAAUAUUGCUGAACUGUCAGCUAAGUCAUACAGCAUUCCUUCCAAUUAUCUUGGAAUAACUGAUUUGUUUGGAAAUAACCUUUUUCUUUUGGGGGAAAAAGAGGCAUGGCAAUUAGCUUCUGAAAUAGUCUCUCAAUCCUUGUAUACUUUUUUUUUUUUUUAGAUCACUAAUGAAAAAUUUAUUUCCCCUCUCUCUGAGCUAGUGCUCUUUUAAUUACCUCAAGCUUUUUUUCAGCAAAGAAUGGAAACUUUUAAUAAAGUCUUUUGAUGGCAGAAGCUGAAACCUUGAGAAGAAGCACUGACUACAGUAAGACUUGUACUGAAGUCUGCAGAGCUUGAUAAUGCUCCAAAUGCAUACCCAAGUGCACAUUUGCACAUGCUCACAAUUGUUGUCCUCCAUGAAAGGCAAGAAUGGAAAUCUUGCAAGAAUAAUACAGAAGACUAAAGUAAUUUUUAUGUUUGAUAUGUUGAAGAACACAAAGGAAGAAGAAAAGACUGGGAAGAAAUUCAAAGAACAAUUCCCUGUGCAAGUAGAAGCACAUGAAAGCUAUUGAACAGCCUGAGAUGAUAAAUAAAUGAAACAGUGAGAAAGUUCAGCUCACUCAGUCUGGCAAGGAAGAAGCUCAGGAGAGAGCUAGGAGCAGCCUGCAGCUGUUGGAAGGGUAGUACAGCUAAAGCAGAGCCAAGCUCUUCUUGGAACUGUCAGAUGAUUGAUAUAACAGAUUAUUAUGUGGGAGACCAGGUUGAUUGUAAUGAAACACCAUGUUCAUGCUGAAAGAGGUUAAAAUUGGAUCAUUUUGGCUAUAAUGGUGGUCAGCUAUCACCUGAGAAGGCUUUGAAAUGUUCACAUUUAAAGCAGGAGGUCAGUCUAGCUGACCACCAGUGGUCCUUUUCAACAACAACUUAAAAGAUGGCAAGAGAAUACAGUUAGCAAAAAUACUGGUAAGCGGAGACAAAUAAUUGACCUGGAAAAUCUGCUGAGAGGUAUCUCUAGUCUAAUGCCAAGUGUCACUGCAUAUUUUUAUUAGCUAAAGUUGCAAUUUAUAGUUAGCAAAUCAGAAUAUGCUUUGAGAAAUAACUUGGCUACUAAACAUGAAUUACUGAUUUUGCUCAACAGAGCCUCCUCUCAGCUGCUGCACUGCCUUGCUUCAGGAAGUCAUAGGACACAUGCACAUAACUUAACAGGUAUUGGUCUUGUAAGAAGGCCAGGAAAUGCAGGGUGGUCCCAGAGGAACUGAUACAGACAACUUAAACUGUGUUUUUUUUUUCAAAUGUGUCACCCAACUCUGUGGAAAUAGAUUGUUAAUUUAAGUGCUUACCUCCAGGGUCAAAUGUGAUUUUCCAGCACAAUGCCAUAAGUCUGAUGCCUGUAUGGCUAUAGCAAUAGUCUCGUCAGAUCGAAUUCUGACACAGAAGAUGGAAUAGAGGAGCUUUUUAAAUACCUCAUCCUAGGUAGAUUUAAGUUAAUCAUCUGUGCAGUUCUGUACUGUCAAGUGGUGAUCUGGGCUAGAGUUCACUAGUUCUAACAUUACAGGCUGCUACUGCUCAACUCAGAGGAAGGAUGAAGAUGACACCUAACUGGAACCAAACUUCUACUGAAGAGAAGAGUUGGCACCACAGGGCAAUUACGAAUGGACACUUUCAUUUGUCACUAUAGACUGGCCAUAUAUAACUCUUCUGAAAUUUUUUUCAAAACUUAACGGUGGUUUUAGGUCAAUGAGUUUUUUGUUUUAAUGGCUAAGUUCUUUUAGGUUUGUUAUUUACUUAUACCUUUUUCGUAUUUAUAAUACUUUCCCAUUUCAAGUCAUGUAAUCUUCCUCCUUUGGUAAUUCAUCUUUGUCUCUGCUGAAUCUUCAUUCUUGUUCUGGCAGUGCAUCUUUUUCUCUGGUAGAGAAUCUUCCUUUUAGUUCUAAAUAGCUCAAAAAAAAAAAAAAAGACUUCAGAGGCAGUUAAAGUGAAAGGUAGUGCUACGAUAAGACUGUACGAGAUACCCUUCUUUAAUUCCUUCUAUUUAAUGCGUUCUGCUAUGUUUCUAAAUUUGGACUCCGUAGUUAUUCCACUUACGCUCCUGUACUGCCACCAGUGCAAUCUAAGCUUCCUUUAUGGCCUAGUAAAUGAUUCAAACCUGCUAUUUAAUGUAUUAAACCAAUCUUUUAAAAGAUCUAAAACAGCUUUAAAACAUAGCUGAUUGUAGCUACUUGAUACUAUCCCUAUAUAAACCAGCAUCAUAUAUAUAUAUGUGUUCAAAAUCUGGAAACUACGCAUCCAGCAACUGGAACAGGGGCAUGGCAGACAAGUGGAAUUUGGACUGUCUUUGGCAAAGCUUAGUAUUAUAUUACUACUGUAGGGCAAUUACUAUUGUUUCAAUUACAACCCAUCAAUUCAUAUACAUUCAAUUGUAUAGUAGUUACAAAUUACACAGCAAGACUUAAAACUUUCUUUCUUUCUUCUUCAGAAAUACGUCUGACAAGUAUAGAAGCACCUACAAACCAAUAAGAAGCUAUAGCCACUCUGCAAAACCUACCAGUGCCUAACAGCUGAAGCCGAUUGGAACACAUAACAAGACAUGCAAUGUGCUGGAACCUGCCUAUAUUCAGCUUCAGCUCAGGAAACAAUUACUGUAUCUACAGCCAUAGGCUUCAAUACGCAAUUGUAAUAGUAAUUACUGUACUUUUAUUAUGAAGCACAGCAGAAGAUUCACUUUGAGGAAGUCAAGAGGUAAAAACCUAAAUGUGAUUUAUACUUGACAUCUGUGCUGUGCUCCUUGAGUAUUACUGGGCUUCAAAGCUUAAUUAAAACCUUGUGUUGUGGCUUUAAGAAAACCUGAAUAAUAAAACUGAGUAAGCUGUUUAAAAAUAGCUGCUUGUAACAGUAAUAUCAGUGCCGAGGGGUUUUGUUUGGGGGUUGUUGUUUUUUUUUGUUUUUGUUUUUUUCUUUUGGACAAUUUUCUACUGAAUUUUAUUGUGGAGAAGGCAGUAGAAAGACUAGAUUGAGAAAGCUGCAGCAUAGGCUCAGUCUCUUAACUCUAUGGGAAAGAGAUGUCUGCAGCAAGAUAGUUGUGU